GCCGGGGUGAUGAAAUUGGCAGACAUGUUGGAUUCAAAAUCCAAUGGUGGUAACACCGUGUGGGUUCAAGUCCCACUCCCGGUA
rnacentral:tRNA from 1 species